CCCGGAGGAAAGGACAUCAAACGAGACUCCGCAAGUAGUGGCGAGCGAACGCGGACCAGGCCAGUGGCUUUUGUGAGACAAGUGGAACACCUUGGAAAGGGUGACCGAAGUGGGUGAUAGUCCCGUACACGUAAUGCGAACAAAAGUCCUUGAGUAGGGCGGGACACGUGAAAUCCUGUCUGAACAUGGGGAGACCACUCUCCAAGCCUAAGUACUCGUGCAUGACCGAUAGCGAACCAGUACCGUGAGGGAAAGGUGAAAAGCACCCCGACAAGGGGAGUGAAAGAGAUCCUGAAACCGAAUGCCUACAAACAGUUGGAGCCCAAGAUUUGUUCUGGGUGACAGCGUACCUUUUGUAUAAUGGGUCAGCGACUUAGUCUGACGAGCAAGCUUAAACCGGUAGGUGUAGGCGUAGCGAAAGCGAGUCUGAACAGGGCGUUCAGUUCGUUGGAUUAGACCCGAAACCAAGUGAUCUAGCCAUGAGCAGGUUGAAGGUAAGGUAACACUUACUGGAGGACCGAACCCGCAUCUGUUGCAAUAGAUUGGGAUGACUUGUGGCUAGGGGUGAAAGGCCAWUCAAACUUGGAGAUAGCUGGUUCUCCGCGAAAUCUAUUUAGGUAGAGCGUCGAUCGAAUACCCUCGGGGGGUAGAGCACUGGAUGGGCUAGGGGAUCUCACCGAUUUACCAAACCUAACCAAACUCCGAAUACCGAGGAGUACUAAUCGGCAGACACACGGCGGGUGCUAACGUCCGUCGUGAAGAGGGCAACAACCCUGACCACCAUCUAAGGUCCCUAAGUUAUGGCUAAGUGGGAAAGGAUGUGAGGAUCCCAAAACAACCAGGAUGUUGGCUUAGAAGCAGCCAUCAUUUAAAGAAAGCGUAACAGCUCACUGGUCUAAAUAAGGGUCUUUGCGCCGAAAAUGUACCGGGGCUAAAGCCAUACACCGAAGCUGUGGAUUUGCUUAGCAAUAAGCAAGUGGUAGCGGAGCGUUCUGUAAGCCGUUGAAGAGGGACCCGUGAGGGCCUUUGGAGGUAUCAGAAGUGAGAAUGCUGACAUGAGUAACGAUAAAGGGAGUGAGAGACUCCCUCGCCGAAAGUCCAAGGGUUCCUGCUUAAAGUUAAUCUGAGCAGGGUUAGCCGGCCCCUAAGGCGAGGCCGAAAGGCGUAGUCGAUGGGAACCACGUUAAUAUUCGUGGGCCUGCGGGUAGUGACGGAUCGCGUAUGUUGUUCUUCCUUAUUGGAUUGGAAGGGCUUCGAAGCGGUUCCAGGAAAUAGCUCCCGCGUAUAGACCGUACCCUAAACCGACACUGGUGGACUGGUAGAGAAUACCAAGGCGCUUGAGAGAACUGCGUUGAAGGAACUCGGCAAAUUGCACGCGUAACUUCGGAAGAAGCGUGACCCUUUUCUACGCAAGUAGAGGAGGGUGGCACAGACCAGGGGGUAGCGACUGUUUACCAAAAACACAGGGCUCUGCGAAGUCGCAAGACGACGUAUAGGGUCUGACGCCUGCCCGGUGCUGGAAGGUUAAGAGGAGAGGUGCAAGCUUUGAAUCGAAGCCCCAGUAAACGGCGGCCGUAACUAUAACGGUCCUAAGGUAGCGAAAUUCCUUGUCGGGUAAGUUCCGACCUGCACGAAUGGCGUAACGACUUCCCCGCUGUCUCCAACGCAGACUCAGUGAAAUUGAAUUCCCCGUGAAGAUGCGGGGUUCCUGCGGUUAGACGGAAAGACCCCGUGCACCUUUACUAUAGCUUUACACUGGCAUUCGUGUCGGCAUGUGUAGGAUAGGUGGUAGACUUUGAAGCCGUGGCGCCAGCCAUGGUGGAGUCAUCCUUGAAAUACCACCCUUACCUAUAUGGAUGUCUAACCGCGGUCCGUUAUCCGAUCCGGGAC
rnacentral:rRNA from 1 species